rnacentral:rRNA from 1 species
GAGUAACACGUGGAUAACCUACCUAUAAGACUGGGAUAACUUCGGGAAACCGGAGCUAAUACCGGAUAAUAUUUUGAACCGCAUGGUUCAAAAGUGAAAGACGGUCUUGCUGUCACUUAUAGAUGGAUCCGCGCUGCAUUAGCUAGUUGGUAAGGUAACGGCUUACCAAGGCAACGAUGCAUAGCCGACCUGAGAGGGUGAUCGGCCACACUGGAACUGAGACACGGUCCAGACUCCUACGGGAGGCAGCAGUAGGGAAUCUUCCGCAAUGGGCGAAAGCCUGACGGAGCAACGCCGCGUGAGUGAUGAAGGUCUUCGGAUCGUAAAACUCUGUUAUUAGGGAAGAACAUAUGUGUAAGUAACUGUGCACAUCUUGACGGUACCUAAUCAGAAAGCCACGGCUAACUACGUGCCAGCAGCCGCGGUAAUACGUAGGUGGCAAGCGUUAUCCGGAAUUAUUGGGCGUAAAGCGCGCGUAGGCGGUUUUUUAAGUCUGAUGUGAAAGCCCACGGCUCAACCGUGGAGGGUCAUUGGAAACUGGAAAACUUGAGUGCAGAAGAGGAAAGUGGAAUUCCAGGUGUAGCGGUGAAAUGCGCAGAGAUAUGGAGGAACACCAGUGGCGAAGGCGACUUUCUGGUCUGUAACUGACGCUGAUGUGCGAAAGCGUGGGGAUCAAACAGGAUUAGAU